AAUCAACGCUGGCGGCGUGCCUCAGACAUGCAAGUCGAACGCGAAAGUCCCCUUCGGGGGACAAGUAGAGUGGCGCACGGGUGAGUAACACGUAGGUAAUCUACCUUCGGAUGGGGAAUAACAACCGGAAACGGUUGCUAAUACCGCAUAAUGCAGCGGCACCUAAUGGUGACAGUUGUUAAAGCGGGGGAUCGAAAGACCUCGCGUCUGAAGAGGAGCCUGCGGCGGAUUAGCUAGNGGUAAGGUAAUGGCUUACCAAGGCUACGAUCCGUAACCGGCCUGAGAGGGCGGUCGGUCACACUGACACU
rnacentral:rRNA from 1 species